rnacentral:lncRNA from 1 species
GUCACAAUCGUGGGGCCCUGAAUCAGUAGGGUGGGUGCACUUAGAGGAAGAGACACCAAAGUUUUCUGUCUCUACCAUGUGAGGACACAGUGAGAAGGCAGCUAUUUGCAAGCCAGGAAGAGAGCCAUCACCAAGAACUGAAUCUGCCAGCCCCUUCAUCUUGGAUUUCCCAGCCUCCAAAACUCUACAAGUUAGAGUUGGAUUAUCUACAUUACGAAGAGAGGAAAGUGAUUGUAAAACUAGACUUUAUUUCAUUCAGCAAAGGAAAUUCAUUGGCAGGGUGAGACUAGUCGAAGUGCAGACAUGAGUCCAGCAAGCAGUACCACGUCACUUCCUGUUAGUCCUCUUACUGAAGAGCCAGUGCCUUUCAAGACCACAUACCCUAGGGAAUUCUGAAAACCUGACUAACAUCAAUUGAAGAUUGGGGUUCAGGAGGCCUAGAUGAUCCACCAUGACUUAUUCAAAAGUUGAAGAUGAAAGGAAAGAAUAAAGACUCUUUCCAUCCAGUUCUCUAGUCUGAAAGGAAAAGAAAUAGGCAAAGGACAGUAGGCUUUUCUAUAUCAUUAUAUUCAUUCAAAUGAUUCUCUUAAAAUAAUAAUGAACUAAGGAGGCUCUGUAAGCAAGACAAACGGUCAGGAGGCCUCCUUGCUCCAAGAAUACUCCCUUUUUACUUUAUUAAAAUGGUUUGUAAAGGUAAACUAAAUUGACUAAAGUAUCAAUAUUUCCAUA